rnacentral:lncRNA from 1 species
AGGGGUGUCUGAAGAACUGAUUGAUUCUGCUCUUAGGCAUCAAUUCAGUUACAGUCAUGAUGAAUACAUCCCUGAGUUUGUGGAUGACAGGGUGAUUAGGAUGGUUGGUGCUGAGAAUGAAGAUCUUGAAGAAGGAGAAAUCCCAGAUGCUGAAGUCUUUGCUGAUGAACUUGCAUAUCACAAUGACAUCUUUCCUGCUGAAGAGUUUGAAAUUGCAAAUCCACAAGACAUUGCUAAUGUUGCUAGGGAUUAUGCUGAGCAAAGGAGAGCAAGGGAGAAGUUAGAAAACCAAAGACGGAUUCGAAGGGAAAGGAGACUUGCCAACUUACAUAAAGAUGGAGCUGAAUGGGAUGCUGCUAG